GUGACGAGUGGCGGACGGGUGAGUAAUGUCUGGGGAUCUGCCCGAUAGAGGGGGAUAACCACUGGAAACGGUGGCUAAUACCGCAUAACGUCGCAAGACCAAGAGGGGGACCUUCGGGCCUCACACCAUCGGAUGUGCCCAGAUGGGAUUAGCUAGUAGGUGGGGUAAUGGCUCACCUAGGCGACGAUCCCUAGCUGGUCUGAGAGGAUGACCAGCCACACUGGAACUGAGACACGGUCCAG
rnacentral:rRNA from 1 species